rnacentral:rRNA from 1 species
UACCAGCACCCCGAGUGGUCGGGACGAUUAUUGGGCCUAAAGCAUCCGUAGCCGGUCCUACAAGUCUUCCGUUAAAUCCACCUGCUUAACAGAUGGGCUGCGGAAGAUACUAUAGGGCUAGGAGGCGGGAGAGGCAAGCGGUACUCAGUGGGUAGGGGUAAAAUCCGUUGAUCCAUUGAAGAACACCGGUGGCGAAGGCGGCGACCUGGUCCGUUACUGACGCUGAGGCGCGACAGCGUGGGGAGCAAACAGG